rnacentral:rRNA from 1 species
GUAGUCAUAUGCUUGUCUCAAAGAUUAAGCCAUGCAUGUCUAAGUAUAAGCAAUUAUACAGCGAAACUGCGAAUGGCUCAUUAAAUCAGUUAUCGUUUAUUUGAUAGUACCUUACUACUUGGAUAACCGUGGUAAUUCUAGAGCUAAUACAUGCUAAAAACCCCGACUCACGAAGGGGUGUAUUUAUUAGAUUAAAAGCCAAUGCCCUUCGGGGCUCACUGGUGAUUCAUAAUAACUUGUCGAAUCGCAUGGCCUUGCGCCGGCGAUGGUUCAUUCAAAUUUCUGCCCUAUCAACUUUCGACGGCUGGGCCUUGGCCAGNCAUGGUGACAACGGGUAACGGAGGGUUAGGGCUCGACCCCGGAGAACGAGCCUGAGAAACGGCUAUUACAUCCAAGGCAGGCAGCAGGCGCGCAAAUUACCCAAUACCGACUCGGUGAGGUAGUGACGAUAAAUACUGAUACAGGGCUCUUUUGGGUCUUGUAAUUGGAAUGAGUACAAUUUAAAUCCCUUAACGAGGAACAAUUGGGGGGCAAGUCUGGUGCCAGCAGCC